CCUGUGUUCAGCAAAGGAUUGCAUUCCCUGCCUUUCUCAGCAGUCCGAGAUGGCCAAAAGUUGUAAGUGUAAAAGCCACACUUGUUGGCCCAAAUAAAAAUGUCUCUUGCUGCAGGGUUCUUGGGAUAUCUCACAAUGCAGUGCCCAGGUGCUUUGUGUCUCAAUGAGCUGAGCCAGAUAUAAGUUACUGGGCAAUCAAGAUUCCCUUUUAAGAGAGACGAAUUCUUUAUUCAAGUUACCACUAUCAGCAAAACAACCAGUUACGAAUACUGGUUGGUCCAAUGGAGCACUUUUACAUGUUUCCUGUACAGUAGCAAAAUGCAGUAAGGGUUUUAUAAGUACGUGUCAAGGCAUUUAUGCUCAUUCUCCCAGCCCCCAGAGAUAAAAGCAACAUGUUGAGGCUGGGUUUAUUCUGAAUCAGUUUCGACUGAGCCACUUGAUCCUGGCUUGUAAGGGCAGCGUCAUUCAAGGUACAUGGCAAGAGACAGGGGGAGGAAAAUUGCUAUGAGCUUGGUUCAUUUAGAGCUGCAGGGCAUCAGAGCUGGCAGGCAUCUAGCAGGCUCUGCUGCCACGGAGCAAAUAAACAAGAACUAAUGAGAACCUACUAUGUGCCAAACAAGACUUUUCUCACCUAAUCUCCACAGCAAACCUCUUGUCAUGAGUACAGUGUCUGACUUGAUUUACUGGUGAUUACAUUCUUCCAGAAAAUAAAUUAUUUGUCCAAAGCCACACAGCUAAGAAGAGAGUUUGAAUUUGAACUUGAACCCACCGAGCACCAGAGCACCAGGAGUACCACUUUGCUCUAGUCUGUUUCAUGCUGCCUUUUGGUGGAGGCAGUGUGAGGGAAGCAAGGGCUGACCCACAUUCCAUUUGAGUGGAGAAGCGUGCUCACAUGCCGCAGUCCCAGAGCCAUGGAGAGCUGUGCUCUGUGGAGAAGAGUCUGUGUCUGGGGCAGGAAGGUGGCCCUCCAUACUUCUGUCCUCUGAUUCUAAGACAGAAUACUUACAUGUUCCCAUCUCCCUGCAACUCACAAUGUGGCCAAGGGAUUGAGUUCUAUCAAAGUAGAUGCAGAUGGAAGAAGGAAUGCUGCUAUCCUGUCCAACCCUCAGGAGUACCAUUCACAUCACGAGGAGGCUGUGAAUAGAAAGGAUGCUAGAACCUGAAAUAGAAGUAGAAAGGGUGCUAUAGUCUCAAAAAGAAGAAACUGAUUUCUCCUGAACCAUCUUUGGAUCCCGAGAGAAUGGUGUAUGAAGGGACAAAGGUCAGCCAUUGUGACAGCUGAACUCUGACCCAUUGUCUCUGCAAGUGACCCACUUGCAACAGUCUGGACUUGGUUUUAUCUCUCCUCACUUUCAAUUCAGCACCAACCACAGAAAAACAAACGGGCACUAACCCGGACUUCAGAUAGCUCAUCAGCUUGCCAGUGCCAGCUGAUGAUGCCAGCAGCUUCUGCUCAGGGCACACCUGCAUCUUUCCUUCCCUAAGCUCACGGGGAACCUUUACCCCUGACUUUGAGGAUCCUAAUGCAAGGGUCCUUGCUGUAGUGAGCCAAGCUAUGUGUCCGUAGACCUGCUUCUACUUUUUUAGGGUAGUCUUUGUUUUUUGUCCUCUUUCUGUGGAGUGAAAUGCAGACAUGUGUCAAGCUAUCUUGAAUUAUCUUGCAGGUGAGAGGAGUCUGCAUCUAUGAUAUUGAAGACCAGCCAGCCACCAGCUUCUGCUUUGAGAUAUAUCAACAGAGAGAUCAACAGGGAUAAAAUCACAAAGGCACUUCUCAGUACCAUGGGUACAGUCCUCUGCUGUCCGGAAGAUGCGUGGCUCACAAGACCUACCUAUACAUACAUACAGUGAACACCUUAGACUUUUGUGUCAGACUAUGUCUUCCAAUGACCUAUAGGCACUUAGAAUUCUUCAUUUGGUUCCAUGAGGCAGGAUAAGAACUUGGUGUCUCUGCCUUCAUUUAGAACCUGGUUCCCUUUCUUUGGGUCGCCUGCUCACCUCAGCAUGCAGGGAUGAUAGUCACCCAAGGAAUGUCUAUCUAGAAACCCUAGAUGCCUAGCUAAUUUUACUCUCUUUCAAGGCCAAAGGCACAAAGGUAAGAAUCGCAGAGGUCUUUUACGACAUCCUGUUCGGGAUCCUCAAGGGCAUCCAAAGUCUUAUCAUUGUCCUAAGUCUGUAGUUACCUCUGAUUGGAGGAACGGCAGAGCCUUGCACCGACAGAGCACCUCCCAAAUGAAGGAAGUCAUCUAUCAUAGGGAGGUGUCCUGGAGCAGAGGUAAUCAUCCCAUGGUCACCAGGUUGCUUCUCCGGAGUGAUAAGGUCUUCUUUGGACCAUCCCGUAGAACCAGAACUGGGCAAACGCAUCCAGACCACACCUUAACCAGAGUGGCUUAAUUAUGGUCCCGCUUUCCCCCUGCCCCAUGUUUAAACCUAAAGCUCUACUCAGUUCCCUAAAGAUGGACUUGGAGUCAUGUGGUUCCUUUAUCUGUUCCCCUUCCCAAUAUAAAUAUGGAUCAAAAGACCUCUCUCUGCUUUUUAUAUCAGUAUUCACCCUCUUAACUGGUUUGUUGGGACAGGAGGCUGAGCUCAACCUGCUGGGGCUUUUGCCCUAAAACUUUGUUAACACCUCUAUAAUGCUUAGCAGAGCAUGUGAACCUACAGUAGUCUCACUGCAAACAUGGAAUGGAUGGAUGUGUAGGUGUGUGGGUGGAUGCUGAAGACCAGGGCCUUGGAUAAGGAUGAGCCGAAGAAGUAAACUGCUGCAGUAUGCUUCCUGCACGGCUCCACGGAGCAUGAAAGAGUCUUGAUCUUCAAAGAGUUCCUGAUCUAUGGUGGAAACACAUUUAAAUACCUAACUGUUAUCUAGUGUGAUAAAAACCUGCUAUUGACAAACGAAGAUAGAAGAGUGAGCAGCUGUCAACAGAGGGAGGUGACCUUACAAAUGUCAUGCAAGAAUACUUGAAUGAAGUCUUACUGGGAUUCUGGUUUUUGAAUGAGACAGAGAUGUGGGGGAGGAAGAAGAACAAAUGUUCCACAGCAAAAGAGAGGGAAUGGGCCAGAGUGUGGGGACUUGAAAAGGACACAGAAAAGCAUGAUUCUGGAGUGUUGGAGAAGAUGAGAAAGAAGCAGGAGAUGAGCCAGAUGAUGGGAGUCAGGAUCAUCUCGGGUGCCAUGUUGGAUGGACUGGACACCAUCCUAGAGUCUGGGACAUUCAAGGUAAGACUGAGAAAUAUUCACAAGGGUCAAGCAGAUUAUGCACAUCAAGGAAGGGAGCUAUGUGGGAGCUGGGAAGCUCAGGAGUGCAGGACCAUAUCCAAAAGUGGUCGUCAAUUCUCAUGUCAGAGUAUAGGCUUUGUGUAGUCAAGUUUCUCUCCUUCCUUCCUUCCUUCCUUCCUUCCUUCCUUCCUUCCUUCCUUCCU
rnacentral:lncRNA from 1 species